rnacentral:rRNA from 1 species
AGAGUUUGAUCAUGGCUCAGAUUGAACGCUGGCGGAAUGCUUUACACAUGCAAGUCGAGCGGCAGCGCGGGGGCAACCCUGGCGGCGAGCGGCGAACGGGUGAGUAAUGUAUCGGAACGUACCCUGUCGUGGGGGAUAACUAUCCGAAAGGAUAGCUAAUACCGCAUACGACCUGAGGGUGAAAGCGGGGGACCGUAAGGCCUCGCGCGAUAGGAGCGGCCGAUAUCGGAUUAGCUAGUUGGUGAGGUAAAGGCUCACCAAGGCGACGAUCCGUAGCUGGUCUGAGAGGACGACCAGCCACACUGGAACUGAGACACGGUCCAGACUCCUACGGGAGGCAGCAGUGGGGAAUUUUGGACAAUGGGGGCAACCCUGAUCCAGCCAUUCCGCGUGAGUGAAGAAGGCCUUCGGGUUGUAAAGCUCUUUCAGCAGGAACGAAACGGUGGCCCCUAAUACGGGCUACUAAUGACGGUACCUGAAGAAGAAGCACCGGCUAACUACGUGCCAGCAGCCGCGGUAAUACGUAGGGUGCGAGCGUUAAUCGGAAUUACUGGGCGUAAAGCGUGCGCAGGCGGUUAUAUAAGACAGAUGUGAAAUCCCCGGGCUUAACCUGGGAACUGCGUUUGUGACUGUAUAACUCGAGUGUGGCAGAGGGGGGUGGAAUUCCACGUGUAGCAGUGAAAUGCGUAGAGAUGUGGAGGAACACCGAUGGCGAAAGCAGCCCCCUGGGUCAACACUGACGCUCAUGCACGAAAGCGUGGGG